GUGGGGAAUCUUCCGCAAUGGACGAAAGUCUGACGGAGCAACGCCGCGUGAGUGAAGAAGGUUUUCGGAUCGUAAAGCUCUUUCGUUAGGGACGAACGUGCUCUUUGUGAAUAAUGAGGAGUAAUGACGGUACCUAAAUAAGAAGCCACGGCUAACUACGUGCCAGCAGCCGCGGUAAUACGUAGGUGGCAAGCGUUGUCCGGAAUUAUUGGGCGUAAAGCGCGCGCAGGCGGGAUAUCAAGUCUGUCUUAAAAGUGCGAGGCUCAACCUCGUGAGGGGACAGAAACUGGUAUUCUUGAGUGUCGUAGAGGAAAGUGGAAUUCCAAGUGUAGCGGUGAAAUGCGUAGAGAUUUGGAAGAACACCAGUGGCGAAGGCGACUUUCUGGACGAUGUCUGACGCUGAGGCGCGAAAGCUAGGGGAGCGAACGGGAUUAGAAACCCGAGUAGUCC
rnacentral:rRNA from 1 species